rnacentral:lncRNA from 1 species
UGUUCUGGUCGUGACAAUCACAGGAGCCAAGGGAGGGUUCCUUACUCAAACCCUAACAAGCACAAAUCAACAAAUUGGAAGGGCGAAUCAGUCCCAAAUCGAAAUCCAAGCCCGUAUUCAUGAACACCAAGUUGAAAGGAUCACAAGUUUGACGCGUCACAAGCUAGGUGGAAGCUUGGAGUGAAAGCAGGUCAAACAAGUCAAGCAUGGAAGAAAAGCGUAGCU